UACGUAGGGGGCAAGCGUUGUCCGGAUUUAUUGGGCGUAAAGAGCGUGUAGGCGGCCAGGUAGGUCCGCUGUGAAAACUCGAGGCUCAACCUCGAGAUGUCGGCGGAAACCAUCUAGCUAGAGUCCGGAAGAGGAGAGUGGAAUUCCUGGUGUAGCGGUGAAAUGCGCAGAUAUCAGGAAGAACACCCGUGGCGAAGGCGGCUCUCUGGUACGUGACUGACGCUGAGACGCGAAAGCGUGGGGAGCAAACAGG
rnacentral:rRNA from 1 species